UACGAAGGGGGCUAGCGUUGCUCGGAAUCACUGGGCGUAAAGCGCACGUAGGCGGAUCUUUAAGUCAGGGGUGAAAUCCCAAGGCUCAACCUUGGAACUGCCUUUGAUACUGGGGAUCUCGAGUCCGGAAGAGGUUGGUGGAACUGCGAGUGUAGGAGGUGAAAUUCGUAGAUAUUCGCAAGAACACCAGUGGCGAAGGCGGCCAACUGGUCCGGUACUGACGCUGAGGUGCGAAAGCGUGGGGAGCAAACAGG
rnacentral:rRNA from 1 species